UCAAGGGGCCCCCCCAAAUGAAGAACAAUUGGAUCAGGAAUUAUGCAAGAGAGACAAACGAGUUAGCCUUGUUGGGUGCUGUAAUCGGUAUAUAUUCAUCUUCUUUGUGUUUUGGGAGGUAGGGUUUAUAAAUUCAUCUUUAACCCCGAGGGAUAGAACGCGCCGCUUCCCAGUAAGUCUGCGUGUGGCUGUGGUUUCAUACAAUCUUACAACAGAGAUGGAUGCUAUGAAACCUGUUGCAAAACAGCUAGAGAAAGAAAAUGACGACGACGAUGAAGAUGAAGGAAGCGUCAUGCAUCAUGAAGAUGCAGUCCUUCUGUCGAAUCAGUAAUUAACCAAAACAAAAUAAUCUUGCUUCGUCUCUUGGUUGAGCCUCCUUUUCAGCGAUCUCCACCUUGUAGGUAUAAACUGUAAUCUCCGUCAAAUACAACCAGGAAACAUCAACUCUGGAGAAUCCUACUCGAUCUCCUUCUGACAGUCCUCCUCAUUCCCUCGUCCUCGACGACUUCAUCACCUCACUCCUCAUCGGCCAAGAAUUUAGUCUCUUCUCCUCGAUCCUCAAUCCUUUGUUGUUGUUGUUGCUGUAGUCGACAUUCUGGUGGUUGUUUCCUGCUCCAACCAAAAAUCGGUGCCUCACACGUUGACCGCCUAGUUCUCAGAUUCCAUGGCCUCACCUCUUCAGCCGCUGCAGGGGAUUCUUCUCUUUCCUUCUUCUUGCUGCAUAUCUUGCUGCUGGCUCUGUCAUCGAGGUAGCAGAGAGGGUUGCCAAAAAGGAGUUGGAUUCCGCUUUUGCUAUCGUUAGGCCUCCAGGGCAUCAUACCAAAGAAGAUGAAGCUAUGGGUUUUUGUUUAUUUAAUAAUGUGACUAUUGCAACACGUUUUUUAUUAAAUCCAAAUUUGGGUCUAAACAAAAUCUUGAUUGUUGACUGGGAUGUUCACCGUGGUAAUGGUACUCAAGAAACAAUCUGGAAUGAUCCUCGUGUUCUGUUAUUUUCUGUUCAUAGGUACAUAUGAAAUUUGAGCCAUGCUUAUUCAUUUGCUUGCCCGUCGUGAUUUGCUUGUAGUAUAUGUCCCAAGCUUUCAUGAUAUAGAGAUAAAUUAGUAAUGUCGGCAGGAUCUUUGUGUCCUCAUGAACCAGUUUACGUGCUUGAAAGUAGUUUUUCUUUGUUUUUGUUUUUUACUUCAUAUUGUUUCUGCCUUAGUUUUACCUUAUGGCAUUUGAUGCAGCUACUUUUAUGGUAACUGAGUUAUGUUUUCCUUUAAUGUAGGAUACGACAAUUUUAUUGUACUAAAUGGAAGCUUAUUAUUGUUAUUAUUAUUAGAGAUGUGUUUUUCUUAACUAUAUAAAGUGUGUAGGCAGAAGGACACCUUCGUAUCUUCCGAAUCUUGUAUUUGAUUCCUCGCAAUUUGCUGAUACUGAAACUAGACUUGAUCAUUUUGUGAAUUGAUAGACCAGACACUCUUGCAUCAUGAUGAUUCUGAUAUACCAGUCAUCAAAUUCAAAUUAUGGAGAGAAAGAGCAUAUUUCAUUUUAAAGAUGAAAUGGAUUGAUUUCGCUUGUUAUUGAAGCUUGUGUUGCUGAACCAAGAAGGCUUGGCCGCUGUAUCUUUUUCUUCAGAACAUUGAAAAGAUUUACUUUCUCUGUCAGCUUCUAUAUUCUCCGAUGGCCUACAUCUGUUUAUCUUCCCAAUCUUUAAGAAUUGUGACUUGGGGGUGUCAUUUUCAAUGACGGCGAUCUGACAGGUGAAUUAUUCUCGUCAUGUCCGGUGCUGGAAUCUGUGCAUUUGUGGAAUUGCAAUAUGUCUUAUCUAAAGUUUCUAACUGUUUCUGCUCUCAGACUCAAGUAUCUUCGUCUAGACUAUUGUCGUGGGUUUCCAAAUAAUUGAGAUGAAUCUUUAUACCCAAGUCUUAUAUCACUUAUAUUAAGGGGAAAUCUUGCACGAAUCUAUCAUAUCAAAGGUGGUUUUUCUAUUCAUCAUACAGAUAUUCAAGUUGGAGAAGUUUAUAGAAACCUAAUGAGUAUAGAUGCCCUUAGUCACACUGCUUUAAAGUUACUUAAUGAACUCUGUAAUGUUACUGUACUAAUUGUGGAUAAUUUGUUCUAUGAGGUAUGUCCUUUGUCCAUUUCCUAUACUUCUUGAUUUUCCUUUAUUUUGGCUAAACUCUUGAUUGAUGGAAAAUGAAUCUUCUUAGCUUUCCUUUUAAAGAAUACGACCAUGCUCAUGAUAUUCCUUGGUGUUGCAGCUUCUCUUCUGCAAGGCCAGUAAUUCAUGGACAUAUGCAAAUGCAAUUACUUUUCACAACCUGAGCAGUGUCUAUAUGUUUGUUUGGCCAUCCAAGAAGCAUUCAGAUGAUUAUAGUUCUCCUCAGUAGAAUGCCGAAUGUCCAUAACGCCCACUUUCUCAUGCUUGCACAAGGACUCCAUACGCGUCCACUUUGGAAUGGAACACAGAAAACCUUAAGACAAUUGGGUUCCCUAUCUUUUGGAAUAUAUUUACGUUAACAAAUUUGUCGAA